rnacentral:rRNA from 2 species
UAGGGAAUCUUCGGCAAUGGACGAAAGUCUGACCGAGCAACGCCGCGUGAGUGAAGAAGGUUUUCGGAUCGUAAAACUCUGUUGUUAGAGAAGAACAAGGACGUUAGUAACUGAACGUCCCCUGACGGUAUCUAACCAGAAAGCCACGGCUAACUACGUGCCAGCAGCCGCGGUAAUACGUAGGUGGCAAGCGUUGUCCGGAUUUAUUGGGCGUAAAGCGAGCGGAGGCGGUUUCUUAAGUCUGAUGUGAAAGCCCCCGGCUCAACCGGGGAGGGUCAUUGGAAACUGGGAGACUUGAGUGCAGAAGAGGAGAGUGGAAUUCCAUGUGUAGCGGUGAAAUGCGUAGAUAUAUGGAGGAACACCAGUGGCGAAGGCGGCUCUCUGGUCUGUAACUGACGCUGAGGCUCGAAAGCGUGGGGAGCAAACAGG